UGCUCGAGUGGCGAACGGGUGAGUAACACGUGAGUAACCUGCCCUUGACUUCGGGAUAACUUCAGGAAACUGGGGCUAAUACCGGAUAGGAGCUCCUGCUGCAUGGUGGGGGUUGGAAAGUUUCGGCGGUUGGGGAUGGACUCGCGGCUUAUCAGCUUGUUGGUGGGGUAGUGGCUUACCAAGGCUUUGACGGGUAGCCGGCCUGAGAGGGUGACCGGCCACAUUGGGACUGAGAUACGGCCCAG
rnacentral:rRNA from 1 species